ACUCCUACGGGAGGCAGCAGUGGGGAAUUUUGGACAAUGGGCGAAAGCCUGAUCCAGCAAUGCCGCGUGAGUGAAGAAGGCCUUCGGGUUGUAAAGCUCUUUUGUCAGGGAAGAAACGGUGAGAGCUAAUAUCUUUUGCUAAUGACGGUACCUGAAGAAUAAGCACCGGCUAACUACGUGCCAGCAGCCGCGGUAAUACGUAGGGUGCAAGCGUUAAUCGGCAUUACUGGGCGUAAAGCGUGCGCAGGCGGUUUUGUAAGUCUGAUGUGAAAUCCCCGGGCUCAACCUGGGAAUUGCAUUGGAGACUGCAAGGCUAGAAUCUGGCAGAGGGGGGUAGAAUUCCACGUGUAGCAGUGAAAUGCGUAGAUAUGUGGAGGAACACCAAUGGCGAAGGCAGCCCCCUGGGUCAAGAUUGACGCUCAUGCACGAAAGCGUGGGGAGCAAACAGGAUUAGAUACCCCAGUAGUCCCAUG
rnacentral:rRNA from 1 species